rnacentral:tRNA from 1 species
GUCCCUGUAGCUUGGUCAGAUGGAACGCCGUACUUAUAAUGCGGAGGUGGAGAGUUCGAGUCUCUCCAGGGGCA